rnacentral:rRNA from 1 species
AGAGUUUGAUCAUGGCUCAGGACGAACGCUGACGGUGUGCUUUAGGCAUGCAAGUCGAACGAGGAAGCCCUUCGGGGUGAGUAAAGUGGCGAACGGGUGAGUAACACGUGGGCAACCUGCCCCUCGCAGGGGGACAACCGGAGGAAACUCCGGCUAAUACCCCGUACGCUUGCUGGAUCGCAUGGUCCGGCAAGGAAAGGUAGCUUCGGCCAUCCGGCGAGGGAUGGGCCCGCGUUGCAUUAGCUAGUUGGUGGGGUAACGGCCUACCAAGGCGACGAUGCGUAGCUGGUCUGAGAGGAUGAUCAGCCACACUGGGACUGAGACACGGCCCAGACUCCUACGGGAGGCAGCAGCCAGGAAUCUUGGGCAAUGGGCGAAAGCCUGACCCAGCAACACCGUGUGGGCGAUGAAGGCCUUAGGGUCGUAAAGCCCUGUUGAUAGGGACGAAGGGCGAAGGGUUAAUAGCCCCUAGCUUGACGGUACCUUUCGAGGAAGCCCCGGCUAACUACGUGCCAGCAGCCGCGGUAAUACGUAGGGGGCGAGCGUUGUCCGGAAUUAUUGGGCGUAAAGAGCGUGUAGGCGGUUCGGUAAGUCUGCUGUGAAAUCCUGGGGCUCAACCCUGGGCGUGCAGCGGAUACUGCCGGGCUAGAGGGUGGUAGAGGCGAGUGGAAUUCCGAGUGUAGCGGUGAAAUGCGCAGAUAUUCGGAGGAACACCAGUAGCGAAGGCGGCUCGCUGGGCCACACCUGACGCUGAGACGCGAAAGCGUGGGGAGCGAACAGGAUUAGAUACCCCCGUAGUCC